GGAGGAUUAGUUCAGCUGGGAGAGCGCUUGCCUUACAAGCAAGGGGUCGGCGGUUCGAUCCCGUCAUCCUCCA
rnacentral:tRNA from 1 species